UACUGUAAAGUUUUAAGAAAACAACAAUACUUUGAAAAAAAAACAAGUUUUUAUUUAUUCUGUGAACUCCCAUCGACUAUUUCUAACAGCUAAAUCGCCUUCUAGCUAAUAUUACUCAAAGUUUUUAUUUGUGAACACUAAAAUGGUUUCCAAUAUGGAAAUGUCACCUCUCCACAAGUUACUGAAAUGAAUGAACAUCCACCAAAUGCAAUUUUGUAAGUUUGAAUGAUGGAUGCCAGGAACCGAUUUAGCAUUUGGAAAUUAUAACAGCGCGAGAAGCCCAAGUGUGACCACCUAUUAAUUAACGAAUAUCAACUGAUCGGGACUGAGAGGUAAGCAGCAAUAUCACCUGCCUCGUACCCAGGCGUCUCAAGUCAGUAAAAACAAGUGAAAAAUAUACUAGUGAGCACAAUGAGCCAAGGAAAGGUUUAACGCUGGCGCAAAGGACUAGGGAAGGGUCAACUGGAGAAAUGAGAUGCCUCGCAGAUUCUGUCCGAUUUCUGUAACAUUGUUUCUGAUUUCUGGAUUUUGAGAGAAAAAUCAUUUGUGCUAAGAAAUUACAGGAUCAAUCACUUUAGUUUUUGUUUAGAAAUUUUAUAUAUUUGUGUUUUGAGGUACAAAUAAUCAAAGAAAUGUAGCUUGGAAGGAAGUUUUUGGAGUCAACUCUCCAAGCAAAAGUCAGCGAUAGCGUCAGAGGGAGAUAUUGAACUUGACACAUCCUUCCAAGACCUUGAUUUGGAAGAAUCUGCCAGGCGCUUCCUGUUUUUCGUGCUACUCCUGCAACACCCGGUACCCCCAUACCUGCCACACCCGGUACCCCUACCUGCCUCACCAAGAGCCCCCAUACCUGCCACCCCUAUACCUGCCACACCCGGUACCCCUACCCGCCUCACCAAGAGCCCCCAUACCUGCCACCCCCAUACCUGCCACACCCGGUACCCCUACCUGCCUCACCAAGAGCCCCCAUACCUGCCACACCCAGUACCCCCAUACCUGCCACACCCGGCACCCCCAUAGUAAGCUCCUGGGUACAAGGCAGCAUUAUCACUAAAAUCAAAAUUUAAACACGGAAUCUAUAGUCUUUGACAUGACGGAAAAACCUGGAAAACAUGCAAUUCCAGAUUGAGAGAGGUUCACUACACGACAAGUGAUAACGAAAUUUCCACAUCGUCCAGCGCCACCCAGCACAUUCCAACAUUGCGUACAUAACGCACAGCAUAAUGUUGUGGCCCAGAAACACAAAGUUUACACGCUGCUUUCACUGGGUUUAACGAUACGAGAGGUCGAGGCGGCGAGAUGUCGAAAAGCGCAACAUAGUGUGCCAUGACAUGACG